AUUAGCUGAUAAAGCCAUAUGCAAAAAAUGCUCUUUGAAUCAUGUCAGAUUUAUUUCCAUCGGUUGAACUUUCCUUGAAUAUUCAACGUGGAUAUCCUGGCUAGAUAAUUCCAGGCUCUGUCCAAGUGGCGAAAGGGAGCGUAUGGUCUUGUCCUAUGACGUAUAGUCCCAUUCCACAACGUUGGAGAAUAAGCCGGGCCUUGUGUCUGCACCUGCAUAUUCCUAAACCUUCUCAGAGUCUUUGGACUAUGACUGAGGAGACAAACCAUGUAGGAAACAAUAUUGUUACUGCUUCACUCGUUUGAGGAGUAUGAAUUUGUUUCCUGCUUUGAAAAAUGUUGUAACCUGUUUUCUCUUGCUCUUUAGGGUUAUCAUGCACAGAAAUAAGUCCAGAAGACACCUGGGGACCUUCUUCAUCUGCAGUUUCUUUUCCUAGAAUAGAGGGUUAUCAUGCACAGAAAUAAGUCCAGAAGACACCUGGGGACCUUCUUCAUCUGCAGUUUCUUUUCCUAGAAUAGAGGUAAGAUUUUGAAGCACUCAACAGCUAGUGAAGUUAGUCAUGCAUGUGAUUUUGUUGACCCACAGUUGACACCUUUUUUAAUAAUGGUUUUUAAAUAAACUGUUGGAUAUGGUAGCUCUUAAUAUGGGUAAGUCAAGGAUCAUUCAAAUGCACAACAAAAGGGGAUCGAUCAGUCUCUCCAAAGCACCAAGGAGGAGGAGCUGUAGUUGCUUCCUUCAUAGUGAGAGAUAGGCUAGAAAGUAAGACCAGUAAGAAGGCAGCUGUGAUCUGAUCACAGCUGAAGAGAAACAGUUAAUCAUGGACAAGACAGUACAAAGACUGAAUGCUGAAGACUGGAAAAGUAAUCUUUACUGAUAAAACCAAACCAAAUUUAAAGGUCAUAUGGAAAUGUUUUGGGGGGUUUUACACUUCUAUGGGCCUGGAAGUCUUGUCUCCAUUGAAGGAAGGUUAAAUUAUGAGAAAUAGAUUGCUAGACUGAAAGAGACAAUUGCAGAAAAUCCCAAGUGGAGAGUGUUGCAAUAUUGUCUUGCAUCAUUCUCCUCUUGAUAAAAAAAAAAUUUAUCCAAGAAAUGGAGAUACACGUGCUUAAGUCAGUGGUUCUCAAAGUAUGGUCUAGAGAAUCCUGGGGAUCUCCGAAACCCUUUUAGAGGGUCUACAAAUUCAAAAAUAGUUUUUAUUUCCAAUAAGGUAAAUGUCUAUAAAUAUAACCCAGAUAAGCAAAAACGCUUUGGAGAGAUCCUCAAUUUUUAAUAGGAUAAAGAUACUGAAAAGAGAACCACUGGCUCAAGUGGUUUGGGAACUCACCUGAUUUAAAUCCUGUGGAGAUCUGUGGGAUGGGAAUUUGUGGUCCAGAAAUGGACUGCUCUUCACCUUUGCUGUUAAGUGUUCCUUUAAAGAUGGUUUCAUUAUUUUAUUACAAAACUUUGUCCAUUCAUUCCGUGCUGAAUCAUGUAAAGCAGUUGAUUGCAGCAAAAGAACGUUAUUAAAAGUUGCAUGUUAAAGAUGUGAAAAAUUGUAGUCAUAUGCUAGAAACCAUGUAGAAAAGACUCUCCUAUGUUGGAGACAGGAAACAAAGAGCUAAGAAGAACGUGACUACCUGUGUGUAAACUCCAAUACUAUUAACAAACAACACAUCCUAAAUUCCUGAGAUAAGAUAAUGUGUGUCCCAGGAAAUUGGCCAUCUCCGCCCAGGAACUAGAUAACGAGUAUGCCCCAGGAUGCCAGCCACACCUGUGGUCUGACAUUCUUUUUACAUUGCAACCCCCCACCCAGAAAUCAUAUAUAACUAAGAUCCUUUUCGUUCAAUAAAUGAGAGACCUUGCUCCACCUCAACUCGUCUCCCUCCUCAUUUUCUAAACCCAUUCCUUUACAGGCAUUAGCCUUACAGGCAUUGUCCACCUCGAGACCCACAUGUAGGUCACCUGCUGGACGGGUCAUUUGGCACCCAACGUGGGGCCCCGAGGCUGGACACCUGCCUGGCAGAUUAGGAAGAAGCCUAUUUGUCCGGACCUGCUACGAGACCGCUCCACGGAGAGCCCGCAACUGAAAAAUGACUCCGGUUUGCGCCCUGCUGAUCCCCCUCCUGGCCUAUGACAUAGUUCAAAUUGCCAUGACACAACAUAUCAUGAACUAUACUUGGACAGUCAGUAAUGGUGCAGGCGAUGUUAUUUGGGGUACGUCUAGACUCACACACGAGGUCUGGUGGCCCACAUUAUAUCCAGACCUUUGUAAACUAGCCCUGGGGGCUCCGGCCAAUUGGGACUUAGAAGGAUAUUAUGACCAACAUAAGGCCCCCUCCUCUCCCUCCCCUCCGGGGAGACUUGGUCUUGAUCCAUGGGGAGGCUGUGGUGCGCAUAGCAGGAGAAGUAUGUUGAGAACGAUCACCUUCUAUGUCUGCCCUGGUUUUCAUAGAGACCAUUCUUGGAAUUCAAAAUGCGGUGGCUUAUCUGAUUAUUACUGCCGUAGCUGGGGGUGUGAAACAACAGGAGAUACUUAUUGGAGUCCCUCUUCCUCGUGGGAUUUUAUUACUGUAAAUGCUAACUAUACGCACCACAAACCGGGAAGUGCAGGAUGGACAAACUUGCCAGAGUGUGCAGGAUGGUGUCACCCCCUGCGUAUCCAAUUCACUGACUCAGGCAAAAAAUAUAGAGAAUGGACUCGGGGUGUCUCAUGGGGCCUAAGACUGUACAAAGAACGGUAUGAUGAUGGCCUAAUCUUCACUAUAAAACUUAAGAAGGAAGCUCCUAGCCAAUACCCAACAGCAGCCAUAAGCCCCAACCCCGUGCUCAAAAAAGAUUUACCCCCCUCUCCCCAGAACUCCCCGCUCCAUGGUCCCUGUAUCCUCUAAAUUACCUCCUGCCUCUAUUAUUCCUAGACCUACCUUACCUGCUAGUCCCUGGUCCUCAACUCAGUUAUUACUUUCUCUUGUGUACGCCUCAUCACAUGCUCUCCACAAUCUUAAUUACACCCAGGAUGAGGAAUGCUGGAUCUGUUUCUCAGCCGUGCCACCCUUCUAUGAGGGCAUAGCCCGCCGAGGAGACCUGACAUUUACCAACAGCCCCUCUAGUCUCCAAUGGAACACAGGCUCAACAAAAGGACUUACCCUGAGUAAAAUUGCUGGCCUCGGGCUUUGUAUAACAACUCCCGACAACCCCUCCCUCUCGCCCUUGAGCCUAUUUGUGAUACAACAAUUGAAAUCAACUCCUCUUACAUAUAUGUGGCUGCCCCAAAUGGGUCUUACUUCGCCUGUUCCUCUGGGCUCACCACCUUUGUCCCUUCUCAAACAUUCAUCUCCUCUCAUGACUUUUGUGUUCUCGUCACACUCCUCCUUCACAUUACCAUUCACCCGCCUGAGGACCUUCUGUCUUUUUGGAACACGGGCACCUCCCCCCAUGCCAGGUCCAAAAGGGAACUCCUGACCGCCAUUUCACUUGCUGUUAUAGUUGGGUUGGCGGGAGCCGGUACCGGGAUAGCCUCCCUAGUCACCUCUAAUCAGCAAUAUUCUCAACUUAGUGCUGCUAUAGAUAGAGAUCUCUGAGAACUUCAGACAGGUCUAGAACAUCUCAAAGACUCGGACGCCUCCUUAGCAGAAGUGGUUCUACAAAACAGAAGGGGAUUAGACCUGUUGUUCUACUAUCAACACCUUCCUAAGGCAGAUUCUUAUGAAAACCUCAACAUCAACGAGCCUGGUGCUGCUUUUUUUUUUUUUUUUUUUUUUUUUUAUUUAAUAAUAACUUUGUAUUGACAGAAUCCAUGCCAGGAUAAUUUUUAUACAACAUUAUCCCUUGCAAUCGCUUAUGUUUUGUUUUUUCCCCUCCCUCCCUCCACCCCACCCCACCCCACCCCCAAGAUGGCAAGCAGUCCUAUAUAUGUUAAAUAUGUUGCAGUAUAUCCUAGAUACAAUACAUAUUUGCAGAGCCGAACAGUUCUGCUCUGGUGCAGCUUUACAAUUUUCUACCAUGGUUAUGAAUGACCCCUGGUAUCGCAGAUGGUGGACUUGGUUGAAGUCCCCCUGUGCCAGCUGUGGGUGAGCCAAUGAUGGGAUUAUUGUGGCCCCAUAUUUCAGGAACAUCAUACCCUCUGGCUGCAGGAACACCCAAUGAUGGGAUUAUUGUGGGCCCGAUCUCCAGAAGCACACCCCGGAAGUUUGAUGCUGGGGUGCUGGGACGGAUGCCACCCACAUAGCCUAAGACAGGGGUCCUGCCUUUUUUCUGGCCUUUAAGGUCGGAUUAUUUGGGUACUGAAUAUGGACACCGGCCACAUAGCCUAAGACAGGCCUCCCACCCAUAUAUAAAUAAAAAAGGGGGACAUGCUAGAAACCAUGUAUAAAAGACUCUCCUAUGUUGGAGACAGGAAACAAAGAGCCAAGAAGAACGUGACCCUCCAAUAUGGUUAACAAACAACACAUCCUAAAUUCCUGAGAUAAGAUAAUGUGUGUCCCAGGAAAUUGGCCAUCUCCGCCCAGGAACUAGAUAACGAGUAUGCCCCAGGAUGCCAGCCACACCUGUGGUCUGACAUUCUUCUCUUUAUAUUGCAACCCCCCACCCAGAAAUCAUAUAUAACUAAGAUCCUUUUCGUUCAAUAAAUGAGAGACCUUGCUCCACCUCAACUCGUCUCCCUCCUCAUUUUCUAACCCCAUUCCUUUACAGGCAUUAUCCACCUCGAGACCCACAUGUAGGUGACCUGCUGGACGGGUCAGUCUUGUGUUUAAUUCUUUAUUCAAUAAAUUUUACUUGUCCCUGUUGACUUUGUA